GAUGAACGCUGGCGGCGUGCCUAAUACAUGCAAGUCGAGCGAACGGACGAGAAGCUUGCUUCUCUGAUGUUAGCGGCGGACGGGUGAGUAACACGUGGAUAACCUACCUAUAAGACUGGGAUAACUUCGGGAAACCGUAGCUAAUACCGGAUAAUAUUUUGAACCGCAUGGUUCAAAAGUGAAAGACGGUCUUGCUGUCACUUAUAGAUGGAUCCGGGCUGCAUUAGCUAGUUGGUAAGGUAACGGCUUACCAAGGCACGAUGCCUAGCCGACCUGAGAGGGUGAUCGGCCACACUGGAACUGAGACACGGUCCAGACUCCUACGGGAGGCAGCAGUAGGGAAUCUUCCGCAAUGGGCGAAAGCCUGACGGAGCAACGCCGCGUGAGUGAUGAAGGUCUUCGGAUCGUAAAACUCUGUUAUUAGGGAAGAACAUAUGUGUAAGUAACUGUGCACAUCUUGACGGUACCUAAUCAGAAAGCCACGGCUAACUACGUG
rnacentral:rRNA from 1 species